UAGAAGUGACAGCACUGCUCUACCUGUACAGGAAUAACCACCACAAGGACGUUCUCCCUCGCUGUAUAUCUGGAAGUUUGGGAAACCUUAUGGAUGAUAAGAGAAUGAUUUCUGUGCCAGACUGAUAUUGUCGAGCUGUCUCUUAUUCUACAUGAUAUCUGGCUGAAGAACAGAAGCCAGAGUAAUGAAGAUGUGGAACAGCAAUGUCAGAACAAAGAUGAAGAUAAAUAGGCCAUUGUAGUAAAUGAAGAAAAAGGCUUUAAGUAUAAUCAACACACAUCAAAGUUGCUGGUGAAUGCAGCAGGCCAAGCAGCAUCUAUAGGAAGAGGCGCAGUCGACGUUUCAGGCCGAGACCCUUCGUCAGGACUAACUGAAGGAAGAGUACAGCUUACGUACAGCUUACAUACAGCUGGCAUGAUGCUCACAGAGUGAACAGUCCACAGUAGAAGCACAGUCUGGCUUCCUCCACUGAUUGUCAGAGUUGGAUGACCACCCCCGUCCUCGUCUUUACCGAGUUUCAGCACUGCGAUUGGCUUCAUAUCCACCAUCAUUUUCAACAGCUGCUCAUUUCAUAGCAACUACAGCGAGAGGGGGUUAGCUUUAUACAAUAUUUUAAUUAUUUUAUGCAUGAAUUAGUGGGUACACUGAACCAUCAGAAAGGUAAGGAAACAGUACCUCGGCUGUCCAAGUGGACAGUCAGUGGCUGUUUGGAAUCACCAUCGUUCCUGACACUUGUUCAUUGUACUUACUCAUCAAUGAAUUUCUCUGCUGCUUUGUAAUCAGCAGACACCACAAACCCACAAAUCUUCAAAGAUUUAAUGCUGUGCCUUUUCUUAAAUUUCUGCAACCAGCCUUCUGGAUAUUCACAAUUACCUUCACUUUUCAGUUUGUUGUGAUAUAUCUUUACUUGUUUCAUGAUCAACAUACCGUUAGAUGGCAUGUGUUCACUUCAGCACUCAUGAAUCCAUUCUUCCAAUAUAUAAUGUGAUCAAGAUCUUCAAUUACCAUUUCAUGCAGUGACUUUCUAUUUUUCAUUAACUUGUUCAUUACAUAUGCGAGCUCACUUCUCAGAAUAGAGACCUGCGGACCAUCUGGGAACCUAAACAGCGUCUAGUGGAAUUUUCCAGUUGUGACAUAAUGUCAGCACUCAAAAAAAAUUUGAAUUUCAGAGACUUUCAGAUUUUGGAUAAGGAGUGCUCAAUCUGUACUUCAAUUUAAAAUUGAUUGCUUGCAUGACAGUCUUCGAACUGAAGAAAGCUUAAAGUGUGUUAAAGUAGUUCAACCAAACUAAAAACAUUUAUUUUAAAGGAAAUCAUUGAAAGUAUAUUUUGUUUGGUUGAAGGUCCUCAGCAUUGUUUGUUAAUGGAAACUGUUCUGUUGUUGAAUUGUUAGUUUCUAAAAUAAAAUGUUGCUUGAAGAUACAAUAUGUGCUAAUUAACAUCGAAUGCAAUGUAAUGUGAAUUGUUUUAUAAUUUGUAAAUAUGACUAACCUAAAAA